rnacentral:lncRNA from 1 species
AUGGGUUGAGCCACGGUUAAGCUUGUUUUUUAAUUGUUAUUUAUUUGUUUUGUCUUAUUUUGUCUCUCUUAUGAGACAGGGUCUCGUGCAGCCUGUUCUGGCCUCCACCUUUCUAACUGGCUAUGGAACGGAGGCUCGGCCUUGAACUCCUAAUCCUUCCAAGAUCUGAAAUUACAGGAACAUGCUACCACACCCAGCUCUCCAUUUGUUUUGUUGUUGUUUUUUUUGUUUUGUUUUGUUUUGUUUAGCAGAGUUUGAGCAAGGCAGCGUUUUAAGACUCAAGGAGCCGAUGCAGUCCUCUCUGGUUGCAGACAAGGAAGUUUCAGCUUGUGCGGAACCUAAAGAGAGAUCAGGAGAAAACUGAAGACACCAGAGAAUCAGCGUGGUAUGAUCAUUAGAUUUCCAGCCUACAAAGAGGCAAAGGCCAGGGUGGAGAAGAGAUUGUGUAUCUUAUCAAGACCCUGGACUUCAUUCUGUGAGGAAGAGAAUCCCGAAAGUCUUAGGGUAGAGAACAAGUUGGCUUUCAGGUACAUCGUGCACUCCACAAUAUGAGGGCGGGCGGCCUAGUGGGAAAGAAAUGGAGAAAGGUGGGGCCUGACGGGGCCUGGAGAGAUGGCUCAGGGGGUUAGCCGCCAAACCUGACAGGGUUCAAUUCCCAGAACCUACAUGGUGGAAGAAGGAGAGAACCGACUUCCAAAAAUUGUCCCCUGACCCUUGCAUGAACAUAUGCACACACUGAAAAUAAGUAAGUCAAUGUUAAAAACAAAAAACAAAACAAAACAAACAAACAAAAAGAAACCAAAAACGUGAGACAGGGCUGACAGCCGCGGACAUCACUGGGAGGAAAUCCUCUGUGAAGAGAGACUGCUGUGUGGCUCCAGACUCAUGAGUCUGAGUUGUGUGUGCCAGUGGAGAAGCCCGCUAAACAGAUAGGGAAGUAGUUUUCUUUCUCACAGUGGGGCUAAAGUCAGAGGCAGUGUCCUCUUGGCCCUGUGGGAGUAGCCUGGCCUUGUGGAGUAGCUCAUUUUUGGGAGCUUCUCGGAAACGCUAAGGAGAGCAGCGGAAAGUGAGGCAGGAGGUGGUGAUGGGAGGGAAUGGUUUUUCUACAGUUUUUCUAUGGCUGUUUUACAAAAGGAUGACAUCUCUUCCCGUGUCUCAAGACAUCUGUCUCAGAGACAAAUAGCCCUUCCUUAUAUCGAAUCCAAAUGUUGAUUAAUAUGUAAGAAAACCAGAUUCUAGUUGUUAUUAAAUCAGCUCCCUACACACACCAGGUAAGUACCUGGCGAAUAGCUAGGGGAAAGCUUUCAUGCUUUAGACAGGAAGUGCUGUCCUCAUACACCCAACCCGUGCAGGACCUUGCUCUCCGUGGCUGAAAGUAUGUAUUUGGCACUCAGGACCUGGUAUCAGGCAGACAGCGAGUUCCUUACUUCAGAAGUGCAACUGGUAGAGCUGAGAGCCUGAGAAUAGAGGCUGCGGCCAGGAAUAGCAGGCGAAUUCACCCACUUCCAAGAAGGUCACUCGUUGUGAGAACAGGGUGAAGGCAGCUUGAAGCAGAUUCUUGGCACCACCGUGCCACGUCUGCCUGUUGCAUAACUUACAGCCUUUGGUUCCCUUGACUGAGAGCGCUGUAAGGCUCAUUUCCAGACGGCUCAGCACUGCUUGUCAGGCGACCUUCCCUAUUAAGUCCGCUUCCCUCCUCUUUUAACAGCUACCUGUUGAGAGUCCUAUUUUUAAUGAACAAUUAUAACCUAAGAGCUGUCAUCUGUCAGGUUGUAAACGUUUGUUAAAAAUAGGAGUCCUAGACAUGUAGUCAUUAGACAGCAAAAAAGCCGGAAACAAUAGAAGAAGCCACAGUGGGAGAUGUUAAUUACAUCUGAAUUCAUUACUGAAGUUCAUCUCAGGAAGAAGGGCUGCGGUCUGUGUCCAGUUCUAACAAGAAGGAGGGCUGGUACCCUUCAUAGAAACAGUUCAUCUAGCCUUCAGGAUGCUUCGUUUCUGCUGGCAGGCAUAGCCUUAGCUCCUGGCAGCACGGCAGCACACAGGUAAAAUGCGACUCGGUGUUCCUGGCUUCGGAUCCUCUGGAGCUGAGCUGCGCAGUACAGGCUUCACUGUCUACGCACCGAUGUUCGAGUGAGCAUCCAAGUGGGGUCCACGCAGAUUAUUUCUCAACUCGAAGUUUCUCUGCCGGGCCCUCGGGAGGUGAGUGAUUUUGCAGUGCCAGACUAGAGUUUUAAAGCUAAAUUCAGGCCAUUACAAUUAGGGUGCUCCACACAUUAUUUCAUGGGAUUCUUUAUCAUUCACAUGGACACAUGUGCUCUCUAUGGCCUGGAUUUUGUAGUUAUCUAGGGCCAUGGGCGGGGCCAUGGCGUUGCCCACCAUGGACUAGGGCAUUGGGCAUGAGUUUUUCUUUAUCACUCAUGACCAUUCUCUAAGGCUGGGUUUUCAUUACUAUCUGUAGCCAUAGGAAGUGAGCUGUGGCGGCCUCAAGGCUGAAGCCGCUGGCUGCUUUUACAGUAUUGGGGAAAAUGUCCUCUGAGGCCAUAUGUUCUUUACAGAAACCAAGGUGGGAGAACAAUGUAGAGAUAGAUGCCUGUGAAAGAUAUGUUUGAUCAGUUAAUGGUAUUGAUAAAAGUGGAGUCUACUUGUCGGGGGAAGCCUGCUCCGGCCUUUUGAAUGUGUGGGGAAGUUACAUAAGAGUCUGGGGC